CAGCCUUUGGCAUGGCUCUUGGGAGGCUUGUGGAGAACCAGGAAGGGUUGGAAGGGCUUUUGGAACCACCAAUGGUUGCCUCAAGAUGGCCUUUGCUCCACGGGACAUGGAGCUACACUAGAAAGGAGAGGUAGUGCCUUAAAUGAAGAGAAUAACAGGAAUAAAGAUGAUGUGACAGGACCUCAAAGUGUUUGAUAAACAAAAGCUUUCCUGAUGCUUCCUGAGAUGGAUGUGGAGUAUGUGAUGAACAGCAAAUAAUUUGUCUGAAGUCACGCGUGGUCUGUCAAACACUGACUCAAUCCCCAUUCCCACCUGCUGUCAGUUAUUGCUUCCCAAUCUCUCAUCUCACUACAUUGCCAAUAGAGGAAUGGCUCAUAAAACUCGGUAUGCCCUGUGGAUUACGUGUAUUUGCUACUGAAGGAAUGUCACUGGAUACUCUCAGAGGUAUGUUAAAAGGCAUCCAGAUUGUUAAAGGUAUGUUAGAAGUUCCCAGGUCCAGAGGGUUUAAAAUAGGACUUAAAUAUGGGAACAAGUGGAAGGAUAAGAUGAAG